GUGCCAGCCGCCGCGGUAACACGUAGGGGGCAAGCGUUGUCCGGAUUUAUUGGGCGUAAAGAGCUCGUAGGCGGCUCGGUAAGUCAGGUGUGAAACCUCUGGGCUCAACCCAGAGACGCCACCUGAUACUGCUGUGGCUAGAGUCCGGUAGGGGAGCGUGGAAUUCCUGGUGUAGCGGUGAAAUGCGCAGAUAUCAGGAGGAACACCAGCGGCGAAGGCGGCGCUCUGGGCCGGAACUGACGCUGAGGAGCGAAAGCGUGGGGAGCGAACAGGAUUAGAUACCCGCGUAGUCC
rnacentral:rRNA from 1 species